rnacentral:rRNA from 1 species
UACGUAGGGUGCGAGCGUUAAUCGGAAUCACUGGGCUUACAGGGUGCGUAGGCGGCUUAGCAAGUCAGGUGUGAAAGCCCCCGGCUCAACCGGGGAACUGCGCUUGAAACUGCUGAGCUCGAGUCAGCUAGAGGUACACGGAACUUCCAGUGGAGCGGUGAAAUGUGUUGAUAUUGGAAGGAACACCGGUGGCGAAGGCGGCAUCCUGGACCGGCAUUGACGCUGAGGAGCGAAAGCCAGGGGAGCAAACGGG